CAACCUAAGCAGUUAAGAUGAGCUUCACCAUGGCUGUGUGUCUCCGGAGCAUUUAACAGCACAACCUGGACCAGUUUAAGACCCAGUCCUUAAUGGUAUCUUACAGAAAGGCUAUUAUUAAGCAAAGAAUUCAUGUUGGAUCAAUUGCCUGUCCCACGUUACCAUAUUUCAGUUAGGAGCUAACAGCUUCCAUUAAUGUUUGAAGCUGUGAUCUUUGGAAGAUUUUAAAAAUACAACCAUAAUGUGAAUUGGGUUAUAUAAGCUUUACAGCACAGAUAGAGAUAAGGGAUAGAAACUAUGUGGGAAAUCACAUAAUCUCUCACUCCAGCCCAUCCUCUAGAGUUUGGAAAUCUGAUGAGUUCAUAUAUUCAAAGCUUUUGAUGGUACCUAGUAUGUAGGAAAUACUUGUGAAUGCUGACUCUGCUGUUGUGGUUGAGGCAGGAUGGAUGUGAGGGAGGUGAGACUAUGCUGGUUAAGCAGCAGGUGUGUGGCCUACUGAGGGGAGAGUUGGGCUCACUCCUUUGCACUCAUAGUCUUGGGCUCCCCCCAGCUGAGGCCAGCCUCCGCAGGACCAAUGUGCUCAUUUCUGCUGCAGCAGUUAAAUCAAACCAGCCAUCUUGCAGCCCAGGGUUUGUAAAUACUUGUUUGGGAUUUAUGGGUGCUUUGAGUUUCACAAGGGCUGAACCUUGACCAUUUAUCUGCUGAUUCAAGUUUUCUAGCCACACUUAAGUAAUAAAAAAAAAAAAAAAACUUACAAAGGUCAGAAUCUAGUCUGGAUGGCUUGUGGUAUUUGGUGGUAGAGAACAAGUUAUUAUAAACUAUAGAGGGAAAGAACACAUAGGAUGCUGUUGGCUUAGAUUCUUGCGAAGAGUCUCUGUCCCUUGUUUUAUGGUACGUUAGUGUAAAGCAUCUGUACUCACCACCACACAAGGCCUCCCUUCUGUCUGAGACAGUUAGGGUAUUAAUCUGUUGUAUCUCUGUUUGUCUACCUAUUUGGACACAAUUGGGAAGUUUCUAUUGCAUACAAGGACAAGUGGGUGAUGGUAAAGUAGGCUCUUCAUCUCAUGGCCAGCAUUGAAGAAAGACUACACACCACCACCACCACCAC
rnacentral:lncRNA from 1 species